rnacentral:rRNA from 1 species
UACGGGGGGAGCAAGCGUUGUUCGGAUUUACUGGGCGUAAAGGGCGCGUAGGCGGUCGUGACAAGUCACUUGUGAAAUCUCCGGGCUUAACUCGGAACGGUCAAGUGAUACUGUCGGACUAGAGUACAGAAGGGGCAACUGGAAUUCUCGGUGUAGCGGUGAAAUGCGUAGAUAUCGAGAGGAACACCUGCGGCGAAGGCGGGUUGCUGGGCUGAUACUGACGCUGACAGCGCGAAAGCUAGGGGAGCGAACGGG